GAUGUCACUCCAUACUGG
rnacentral:snRNA from 1 species